AGAGUUUGAUCCUGGCUCAGGAUGAACGCUGGCGGCGUGCUUAACACAUGCAAGUCGAACGGGGAACCUUUUAUUGAAGCUUCGGCAGAUUUAGCUGGUUUCUAGUGGCGGACGGGUGAGUAACGCGUGGGUAACCUGCCUUAUACAGGGGGAUAACAGUCAGAAAUGACUGCUAAUACCGCAUAAGCGCACAGAGCUGCAUGGCUCGGUGUGAAAAACUCCGGUGGUAUAAGAUGGACCCGCGUUGGAUUAGCUGGUUGGUGAGGUAACGGCCCACCAAGGCGACGAUCCAUAGCCGGCCUGAGAGGGUGAACGGCCACAUUGGGACUGAGACACGGCCCAGACUCCUACGGGAGGCAGCAGUGGGGAAUAUUGCACAAUGGGGGAAACCCUGAUGCAGCGACGCCGCGUGAAGGAAGAAGUAUCUCGGUAUGUAAACUUCUAUCAGCAGGGAAGAAAAUGACGGUACCUGACUAAGAAGCCCCGGCUAACUACGUGCCAGCAGCCGCGGUAAUACGUAGGGGGCAAGCGUUAUCCGGAUUUACUGGGUGUAAAGGGAGCGUAGACGGAUGGACAAGUCUGAUGUGAAAGGCUGGGGCUCAACCCCGGGACUGCAUUGGAAACUGCCCGUCUUGAGUGCCGGAGAGGUAAGCGGAAUUCCUAGUGUAGCGGUGAAAUGCGUAGAUAUUAGGAGGAACACCAGUGGCGAAGGCGGCUUACUGGACGGUAACUGACGUUGAGGCUCGAAAGCGUGGGGAGCAAACCAGGAUUAGAUACCCUGGUAGUCCACGCGGUAAACGAUG
rnacentral:rRNA from 1 species